rnacentral:rRNA from 1 species
AUUGAACGCUGGCGGCAGGCCUAACACAUGCAAGUCGAACGGUAACAGGAAACAGCUUGCUGUUUCGCUGACGAGUGGCGGACGGGUGAGUAAUGUCUGGGAAACUGCCUGAUGGAGGGGGAUAACUACUGGAAACGGUAGCUAAUACCGCAUAACGUCGCAAGACCAAAGAGGGGGACCCUCGGGCCUCUUGCCAUCGGAUGUGCCCAGAUGGGAUUAGCUUGUUGGUGGGGUAACGGCUCACCAAGGCGACGAUCCCUAGCUGGUCUGAGAGGAUGACCAGCCACACUGGAACUGAGACACGGUCCAGACUCCUACGGGAGGCAGCAGUGGGGAAUAUUGCACAAUGGGCGCAAGCCUGAUGCAGCCAUGCCGCGUGUAUGAAGAAGGCCUUCGGGUUGUAAAGUACUUUCAGCGGGGAGGAAGGGAGUAAAGUUAAUACCUUUGCUCAUCGACGUUACCCGCAGAAGAAGCACCGGCUAACUCCGUG